rnacentral:rRNA from 1 species
GCCUACGGGGCGCAGCAGUGGGGAAUAUUGGACAAUGGGGGGAACCCUGAUCCAGCGACGCCGCGUGAGUGAAUAAGUAUUUCGGUCUGUAAAGCUCUAUCAGCAUUGAAGAAAUACAUGACGGUCCCUGCCUCAGCCGCCCCGGCUAACUACGUGCCCGCCGCCGCGGUCCUCCGUCGGGGGCCCGCGUUCUCCGGCUUUCCUGGGUGUCCCGGGCGCGUCGCCGGCGCUGCACGUCUGACGUGAACGGCGGGGGCCCACCCCCCGGCCUGCUUUGGCCA